rnacentral:rRNA from 1 species
AAUGAACGCUGGCGGCAUGCCUUACACAUGCAAGUCGAACGGCAGCAUGAUCUGGCUUGCUUGGUUGAUGGCGAGUGGCGAACGGGUGAGUAAUGCAUCUCAACGUGCCUUUUUGUGGGGGAUAACGUAGCGAAAGAUACGCUAAUACCGCAUAUUCUCUGUGGAGGAGAGCAGGGGGCCUUCUGGCCUUGUGCUAGAAUAGCGGCCGAUGUCGGAUUAGCUAGUUGGUGAGGUAAAGGCUCACCAAGGCAACGAUCCGUAGCGGGUCUGAGAGGAUGAUCCGCCACACUGGAACUGAGACACGGUCCAGACUCCUACGGGAGGCAGCAGUGGGGAAUAUUGGACAAUGGGCGCAAGCCUGAUCCAGCCAUGCCGCGUGAGUGAAGAAGGCCUUCGGGUUGUAAAGCUCUUUUGGCUGGGAAGAAAACGCGCUCUCUAAUACAGGGUGUUGAUGACGGUACCAGAAUAAGAAGCACCGGCUAACUACGUG